rnacentral:rRNA from 1 species
AACGAACGCUAGCGGUAUGCUUAACACAUGCAAGUCGUACGGGAGUUUUUAACUCAAGUGGCGGACGGGUGAGUAACACGUGAGAAUUUACCUUUAGGAGGGGAUAACAAUUGGAAACGAUUGCUAAUACCCCAUAUGCUUUUUAAGUGAAACGGAUUUAUUCGCCUAAAGAAAAGCUCGCGGCUGAUUAGCUAGUUGGUAAGGUAAUGGCUUACCAAGGCGACGAUCAGUAUCUGGUUUGAGAGGAUGAUCAGACACACUGGAACUGAGACACGGUCCAGACUCCUACGGGAGGCAGCAGUGGGGAAUUUUCCGCAAUGGGCGAAAGCCUGACGGAGCAAUACCGCGUGAGGGGAAGAAAGCCUACUGGGGUUGUAAAACCUCCUUUUUUUCAGGGAGGAAAAAAAUGACGUGUACCUGAAGAAUAAGCAUCGGCUAACUCCGUGCCAGCAGCCGCGGUAAUGUGACUACUG